GGUAUGGGAUGAGCUUGCGUCCGAUUAGCUAGUUGGCGGGGCAACGGCCCACCAAGGCGACGAUCGGUAGCCGGCCUGAGAGGGUGAUCGGCCACAUUGGGACUGAGAUACGGCCCAGACUCCUACGGGAGGCAGCAGUAGGGAAUAUUGCACAAUGGGGGAAACCCUGAUGCAGCAACGCCACGUGUGGGAAGAAGCAUUUCGGUGUGUAAACCACUGUCGUGAGGGAAUAAGGCUUGCUUCCGGGCAAGUUGAAUGUACCUCGAGAGGAAGCACCGGCAAACUUCGUGCCAGCAGCCGCGGUAAUACGAGGGGUGCAAGCGUUGUUCGGAAUCACUGGGCGUAAAGGGAGCGCAGGCGGAAGUUCAAGCGGAUUGUACAAUACCGGGGCCCAACCCCGGACCUGCAGUCCGAACUGGACUUCUUGGAUAGUUCAGGGGCAGGC
rnacentral:rRNA from 1 species